rnacentral:rRNA from 1 species
CCAGACUCCUACGGGAGGCAGCAGUGGGGGAUAUUGCACAAUGCGGGGAACCCUGAUGCAGCGACGCCGCGUGGGUGAAGGAGUAUUUCGGUAUGUAAAGCCCUAUCGGCAGGGAAGAAGCAAGACGGUACCUGACUAAGAAGCCCCGGCUAACUACGUGCCAGCAGCCGCGGUAAUACGUAGGGGGCGAGCGUUAUCCGGAUUCACUGGGUGUAAAGGGAGCGUAGACGGCCAUGCAAGCCAGGGGUGAAAGCCCGGGGCCCAACCCCGGGACUGCCCUUGGAACUGCAUGGCUGGAGUGCGGGAGGGGCAGGCGGAAUUCCUAGUGUAGCGGUGAAAUGCGUAGAUAUUAGGAGGAACACCAGUGGCGAAGGCGGCCUGCUGGACAGUAACUGACGUUGAGGCUCGAAAGCGUGGGGAGCAAACAGGAUUAGAUACCCUCGUA